UACAGAGGUGGCAAGCGUUGUUCGGAAUUACUGGGCGUAAAGAGCGUGUAGGCGGCUAUUUAAGUCCUGCGUGAAAUCCUGCGGCUCAACCGCAGACGGUCGUGGGAAACUGGAUGGCUAGAGUGCGGGAGAGGAGAGUGGAAUUCCCGGUGUAGCGGUGAAAUGCGCAGAUAUCGGGAAGAACACCCGUGGCGAAGGCGGCUCUCUGGAACGCAACUGACGCUGAGACGCGAAAGCGUGGGGAGCAAACAGG
rnacentral:rRNA from 1 species